rnacentral:lncRNA from 1 species
UGUAAUCUUUAAGCCACCGUUUGGUUGGGGGUUAAGGGGUGGAAUAACCCCUUAACCCCCAAUUUAUACCCAAACACCACUCUUUUGGGGUGGGGUUAGUAAACCCCACCCCAAACCGGGUUAGGGGGUUUACUAACCUCACUCCCCCUCCCAACUUUAACCCCGCACGCAUCCCGAGCUCUCACAUUUUUUUUCUUUAUCAAUCAUUAAACCCACUCCCCCUCCCAACUUUAACCCCGCACGCAUCCCGAGCUCUCACAUUUUUCUUCUUUAUCAAUCAUUAUCUUUUUAUCCCACCUAUUCCAACCAAACACUUUUUUUCACUAUCCUAUACUAACUCCAACCUCCAACCAAACACAAAAAAAUUUUAACACCAUUUUAACCCUGAACUUAACCCUAUCCCUGGAAUAGCUACUUUUUCUUAACCCCGAACCAAACGGGGGCUAAGACUACAACACAUCAAUAUUUAGUCAACCGAAUUAGAGUGU